rnacentral:tRNA from 1 species
UAUUUGUUGGUGUAUAGGGCACAUGAAGUUUUGAUCUUUAAGGAAGCGGUGUAAAUCCUCUAUAAAUAA